ACAGUUCGUACUGAAUCAGGGGCUAUAUGAUGUCGGUAUCAAAACUACUGUUGGUGAAAAGAUCCAUUCCCACUAUUCAGGACCCUCUCCCAAGCAUGAAACGACAGAUGAGGUGCUUUUCAACCCCAACCCCAACAGUGGCUAUGUGUUGUCCCUGACCCAGCACCUUUUACUGAAGAGCUGCAGAAGAUCACCAUUCCAGAGGAUCUUAGCGCUGAGCCAGUCAGAGCUCAGGUUGUUGCAACUGUUAUUAUCGGACUAUUUCUACUACAGUUCAUAUCACUACUGAACAGUAGGUUCUGUCCGAGGUUUCUGCCUGGUAAAAGGAAGUUUUUCCUCGCCACUGUGACACCAAAUGCUUGCUCUUGGGGGAAUUGUUGGGUCUCUUUAAAUAAAAUUGAAUUGAACACUUAUAUGCUUCUGUUGCCAAUUGUUUCUCUGCUGUGGCCUUCACAUGUCUUGGUGUUGUAAAACAGGAAUUCAACUUUGGGCGGCAUCCACUCACAAUGUCCACAUGUGCACCUGUAGUAACAUUAAACAAAAAUCAACAUGACAAAAUCAAAUGAAGCAUGAAACAGGAAAAG